rnacentral:rRNA from 1 species
UACGUAUGGAGCAAGCGUUAUCCGGAUUUACUGGGUGUAAAGGGAGCGUAGGUGGCAAGGCAAGUCAGAUGUGAAAACCCGGGGCCCAACCCCGGGAGUGCAUUUGAAACUGUCCGGCUAGAGUGCAGGAGAGGUAAGUGGAAUUCCUAGUGUAGCGGUGAAAUGCGUAGAUAUUAGGAGGAACACCAGUGGCGAAGGCGGCCUGCUGGACGGUGACUGACGCUGGGGCUCGAAAGCGUGGGGAGCAAACAGG